CUAUCUCAUCUGUAAUUGUUUUGACCCUCUCAAGGUACACAAACGGGUCAUCUCCGGUUUCAAACUGGGGAGCACCCAGCUUCAUGUAGUCGGUCAUCUUGACCUUGCUCCCACCAGAUGAGCUAGGCUUAGGCAUAUGGGUUGCUGGAACUGUGGGUUCUGUUGAUGGUGGAGGAGGUGCAACAUUUUCUGAGGUAGGGUUUGCUGGAUUUGGAUAGUAAGGUGGGGGUGGAUACAUUGGGUAUUGUGAAUAUGGUGGGUAGUAGGGUGGGUAUGGCAUCUGUGUG
rnacentral:lncRNA from 1 species